rnacentral:rRNA from 1 species
CCCAGACUCCUACGGGAGGCAGCAGUGGGGAAUAUUGCACAAUGGGGGAAACCCUGAUGCAGCGACGCCGCGUGAGUGAAGAAGUAAUUCGUUAUGUAAAGCUCUAUCAGCAGGGAAGAAGAAAGACGGUACCUGACUAAGAAGCCCCGGCUAACUACGUGCCAGCAGCCGCGGUAAUACGUAGGGGGCAAGCGUUAUCCGGAUUUACUGGGUGUAAAGGGAGCGUAGACGGAGAAGCAAGUCUGAAGUGAAAGCCCGUGGCUUAACCACGGGACUGCUUUGGAAACUGUUUGACUAGAGUGCUGGAGAGGUAAGUGGAAUUCCUAGUGUAGCGGUGAAAUGCGUAGAUAUUAGGAGGAACACCAGUGGCGAAGGCGGCUUACUGGACAGUAACUGACGUUGAGGCUCGAAAGCGUGGGGAGCAAACAGGAUUAGAUACCCGGGUA